rnacentral:rRNA from 1 species
UACCCGCAGCACAAGUGGUGGUCAUUAUUAUUGGGCCUAAAGCGUCCGUAGCUGGCGUGUUAGAUGCCUGGGUAAAUCGAAGCGCUCAACGCUUCGACUUCCGGGUAGACCGGCACGCUCGAGACCGGGAGAGGCAUGGGGUACUCGGGGGGUAGGGGUAAAAUCCUGUAAUCCUCCGGGGACGACCAGUGGCGAAGGCGCCAUGCUAGAACGGCUCUGACAGUGAGGGACGAAGCCCUGGGGCGCAAACCGG